rnacentral:rRNA from 1 species
CAGCAGGCGCGAAAACUUUGCAAUACACGAAAGUGUGACAGGGUCAUCCCGAGUGCCGACCGCUGAGGUUGGCUUUUACCCAGUCUAGAAAGCUGGGGGAAUAAGGAGAGGGCAAGUCUGGUGUCAGCCGCCGCGGUAAUACCAGCUCUCCGAGUGGUGUGGACGUUUAUUGGGCCUAAAGCAUCCGUAGCUGGCUGAACAAGUCCCCUGUUAAACCCACCGAUUUAAUCGUUGGUCUGCGGGGGAUACUGCUCGGCUAGGGGACGAGAGAGGCAGACGGUAUUCCCGGGGUAGGGGUGAAAUCCUAUAAUCCCGAGAAGACCACCAGUGGCGAAGGCUGUCUGCUAGAACGCGCCCGACGGUGAGGGAUGAAAGCUGGGGGAGCGAACCGGAUUAGAUACCCGGGUAGUCCCAGCUGUAAACGAUGCAGACUAGGUGUUUGGACGGCCACGUGCCGUUCUAGUGCCGCAGGGAAGCUGUUAAGUCUGCCGCCUGGGGAGUACGAUCGCAAGAUUGAAACUUAAAGGAAUUGGCGGGGGAGCACAAGGG